rnacentral:rRNA from 1 species
CUGAGAGGAUGGUCAGCCACACUGGAAACUGAGACACGGUCCAGACACCUACGGGUGGCAGCAGUCGAGAAUCAUUCGCAAUGGGGGAAACCCUGACGAUGCGACGCCGCGUGGAGGAUGAAGGCCUUAGGGUUGUAAACUCCUGUCAAGAGGGAAUAAGCAAGUGAAAGGUACCUCUAGAGAAAGGGGCGGCUAAUUCCGUGCCAGCAGCCGCGGUAACACGGAAAGCCCCAAGCGUUGUUCGGAUUCAUUGGGCGUAAAGGGUGCGUAGGCGGCGCGGAAAAGUCCGGCGUGAAAGGCAGGGGCUCAAACCUCUGGACUGCGUUGGAUACUUCCGUGCUUGAGGACUGGAGGGGAGACUGGAAUUCACGGUGUAGCAGUGAAAUGCGUAGAUAUCGUUGAGGAAGACCGGUGGCGAAGGCGAGUCUCUGGACAGAUCCUGACGCUGAGGCAACGAAGGCUGGGGGAGCGAACAGGAUUAGAUACCCUGGUAGUCCCAGCAGUAAACGAUGUGAGCUUGAUGUGGGGGGAUUCGACCCCUUCCGUGUCGAAGCUAACGCGAUAAGCUCACCGCCUGAGGAGUACGGCCGCAAGGCUAAAACUCAAAGAAAUUGACGGGGACCCGCACAAGCGGUGGAGUAUGUGGCUUAAUUCGAUGCAACGCGAAGAACCUUACCUGGCCUUGACAUGCAUUGUGUCGUCGGUGAAAGCCGGCUAGUCCUGGAAACAGGACGCUUUGCACAGGUGCUGCAUGGCUGUCGUCAGCUCGUGUCGUGAGAUGUUGGGUUAAGUCCCGCAACGAGCGCAACCCUUGUGGUCAGUUACUAACCGGCUUAGCCGGAGGACUCUGGCCAGACUGCCCUGUCAAACGGGGAGGAAGGUGGGGACGACGUCAAGUCAGUAUGGCCCUUAUGGCCAGGGCUGCACACGUACUACAAUGCCCGGUACAAUGUGAACCGAAACCGCGAGGUGGAGGAAAUCGCUCUUGAAAACCGGGCCCAGUUCGGAUUGGAGUCUGCAACUCGACUCCAUGAAGUCGGAAUCGCUAGUAAUGGCGUAUCAGCAACGACGCCGUGAUACGUUCCCGGGUCUUGACACACCGCCCGUCACAUCAUGGAAGUCUCCUGUACCCGAAGCACGUGCGCCA